CUUCUUCUCGUCUUGAGAGUUUGAGAAUAUGGCUUUGUCCCUCUUUGAUGUGCUUAUUAUGCAAAAGUCAAUUACCCAGGUCUCUUAAACAGCUUGAGAUAAUGUGUUGUGGACAGCUGGAGCUAAUCAGUGAGAGGUUCCUCGAUGACAGCUGGCAACUCGAAGAAAUUGACAUCAGGGACUGCCCAAACCUGAAAUCCUUGCCCGAGGGACUGUGCGGCCUCACCGACCGUCGGUCAUUAAUAAUUUUUUAUUGUCAAAGUCUUGUUUCGUUGCCGAGAAUGAAUGUGUGGCCAAGAGUGAUACGGAUCGAAAAUUGCGAUAAAUUGGAGGUGGCACAGUUGGCGAGAGACAUGAUGCACACCAGUAAUCUUGAAAAACUGGAAAUUGAUUACUUUGAAGGUUUGACGACUACAACUUUCUUCCCCACCAACCUAACAACACUGUCAAUCUACAAUAUCAAGAACUGUAAGGCACUGAUGGAAUCUCAAGGGUUGCAGAGACUCACCUCUUUGAGAGAAUUGGAUCUGAGGGGUGAAGAUGAUGGAGGUCUGGUGUCAUUUCCACCUGCUGCUAAGAAUUCAAAGGAGACGGAGAUACUGCUUCCCAGAUCUCUUGUUAAGUUGAGUAUUGCAGGCUUCCCAAAUCUAAAGAAACUGAGCAAGGGCUUUCAAUUCCUCACCUCUCUUGAAAGUAUUUGGAUCUUCAACUGUCCGAAGCUUACAACCCUUCCAGUGGAGGAAGGCCUGCCUCUUUCACUUGCGCUACUUUAUACUAGCAAUUGUCCUCUGCUUGAAGAGAGAUACAAAGGACGAUACAGGCACAAGAUAGCACACAUCCCUUGCGUACUAAUUAAUUAAUUACGAAGUCAUAUAUUACGACGUCAAACUUUCCUGACUUUGAAAAGUGAAGGAACAUACUGAAGCUUGUCAAACUUUCCUAUGUUUUAAAUUUGAACUUUUUAUUUCUUCCAUCUGCGGGUCUCCAUAUGCUGAGCAAUGAGCACAUCCUUUUCCUCCUCCACAUAAUAUGACAUUUCGAGUCUCAACUCGAUCCCUUCCAGGAAGAGUUUGUAAUACACUGCUUUGUAGUUUUGUAUCUAUAGAAACAAUAUCAGCUCUGUCGAGGUUUGUCAAAUACGCUAAGCUGUGAAAAUGCAAUUCAAUUUGUUAGUUUUGUUUCGUGCUG
rnacentral:lncRNA from 1 species